CACUGUUGCCAUGGUGAUCACCAAUGAUAGGGUCCCUCUUCCAAAAGAGGCUUUCCUACUUUCUGCAUUCACAGGAUUUCAAGCUUUGUAUUGAACCAUAAGCUUGAAAUCUUAUGGAGGACUUAACCAGAAACACAAAAUGAUCCUCUGACAAGUGAUGAAGAAGAAUGGGAAGAUGUGAAAAUCCAAGCAAGAAGAACUUACGGGAAACAACAUCUAAGAAGAAAUGAAUAGGGAUCAGUUCAGUUCCAAGAAGGGAUAAAGGGGAAAUACCCAAGAACUGGGAUGCUUCAUCUUUGGUUUCUUCUGGAUCCUCCCUAAAUUUUGGCUAAGAAAUCCAUUUAAGAGUGUUCCCAGAAAUGAUGACAUCCACAUGCAGGAACCUCCUCCUUCCUUCACUUGAAGUCUCUUGCUUCUGGGGAGCCAGGAUCUGUGGAGUAAAAAUCAAGUUCAUUUGGUGACACAUUCCCUCUGGGCCCAGAUGCUGUCUCUGCUGCUUAAACUCUCCUGAAGUCAAGGCCAAGCAAUACAUCUAAGCAUCCCUUUGUCAGGUGUCUCCACGUCUUUACAUCCCAGGGCAAUAAAACAACACUCUGAAUGUGGAGAGUCA